rnacentral:ncRNA from 1 species
ACGUCUGGUUGAUUCGUCCCAGCGUGGCUAAGGGACGGACAUAAUGAGAAGGAACUGAGCAGAAAAAUGUCUGGUUGGGUGGCGAAGC